rnacentral:rRNA from 1 species
UAGGGAAUCUUCGGCAAUGGACGAAAGUCUGACCGAGCAACGCCGCGUGAGUGAAGAAGGUUUUCGGAUCGUAAAACUCUGUUGUUAGAUAAGAACAAGGACGUUAGUAACUGAACGUCCCCUGACGGUAUCUAACCAGAAAGCCACGGCUAACUACGUGCCAGCAGCCGCGGUAAUACGUAGGUGGCAAGCGUUGUCCGGAUUUAUUGGGCGUAAAGCGAGCGCAGGCGGUUUCUUAAGUCUGAUGUGAAAGCCCCCGGCUCAACCGGGGAGGGUCAUUAGAAACUGGGAGACUUGAGUGCAGAAGAGGAGAGUGGAAUUCCAUGUGUAGCGGUGAAGUGCGUAGAUAUAUGGAGGAACACCAGUGGCGAGGGCGGCUCUCUGGUCUGUAACUGACGCUGAGGCUCGAGAGCGUGGGGAGCAAACAGG